UCGUGUGGGGUGGGAAUCGAACCGCCAACCCUACGGUUAGCAGGUUGAAUAGCGGACCCUACGGUUAGCAAGUUGAUUAGCGGAGCCUACGGUUAGCAGGUUGAUUAGCAGAGCCUACGGUUAGCAGGUUGAUUAGCGGACCCUACGUUCAGCAGGUUGAUUAGCGGACCCUACGUUCAGCAGGUUGAUCAGCGGAGUCUACGGUUAGCAGGUUGAUUGACCCGCUCUACCACCUGAGCCACAGCCACCCUAUGUUACCGAAAAAUGUUUUUAUGUAAGUAAUGAAAGCAGUAUAUUACAUAAGAGACCACUUUUCAGACAAAAACACAAUGAAGGCUGCUGGGUUUUGCUGCAAAAAUAAGAAGCGAGUGCGACAGUCAAAGUCUCCAGAAGAACCGUGUCUGGAUCUGCAAAAUGCUCAAUAAAACUUAACAGCUUAUUUCCUUAUAAAACUACACAAACUGUACCAGACUAUUUCAUUUUUUUCAUUUACUACUGUUUACGGUAUUUUUUUAAAAUGUAGAAACAUUUAAUUUCAAAGCAUUGUCAAAACAUUUAAAGGCAUCUUUGCAGCAUUCCUUUGCAUGUACCUAAAACUUUUGCACAGUACUGUAAGCUUUUAACAUGUUGGAUGUGGGAACACUCAUUACUACUUAAUGUACAAUCUGUAUUUUUAGAGAAUGUCCAUAUUAUUGUCUGCCUCUUUUGUUGUAGGAACUUAUGUUAAUCAGCCUUAUCCUCUAUGCUGCGUGUUUAUGAAGUGAUCGUGACCCAGAUGCCAUGGCAAAAAGAUACAUUAACAUCAUACACAGAGUAUCCACUACAUUAUACAUUGCAUUGCUGAGGAUUGUCAAAAGAGACCCAGAGAUAGUAGCAGUAGUAGAAAUAGCAUAACAUACAUUAGAUAUUAGUAUAUAAUUUUAUAUAAGUUUAUAUUCAAGAAAACUUCCAUUGUUUUGAACAUAAUUAUAAAUAAGGAUCCUGUGGGAGUG
ensembl:lncRNA